CUACGGGGGGCUGCAGUGGGGAAUAUUGCACAAUGGGCGCAAGCCUGAUGCAGCCAUGCCGCGUGUAUGAAGAAGGCCUUCGGGUUGUAAAGUACUUUCAGCGGGGAGGAAGGGAGUAAAGUUAAUACCCUUGCUCAUUGACGUUACCCGCAGAAGAAGCACCGGCUAAGUCCGUGCCAGCAGCCGCGGUAAUACGGAGGGUGCAAGCGUUAAUCGGAAUUACUGGGCGUAAAGCGCACGCAGGCGGUUUGUUAAGUCAGAUGUGAAAUCCCCGGGCUCAACCUGGGAACUGCAUCUGAUACUGGCAAGCUUGAGUCUCGUAGAGGGGGGUAGAAUUCCAGGUGUAGCGGUGAAAUGCGUAGAGAUCUGGAGGAAUACCGGUGGCGAAGGCGGCCCCCUGGACGAAGACUGACGCUCAGGUGCGAAAGCGUGGGGAGCAAACAGGAUUAGAUACCCGCGUAGUC
rnacentral:rRNA from 1 species